GGGUCAGUAGGUUGGUCGUGCCACCGGUACGUACUGGUCUCGCUGAUUCCUCCUUCCUGAAGAACCGUAAUGCCAUUAAUUUGGUGUUGCGGGGAAACAGGACUGUUACCUUGAAAAAAUUAGAGUGUUUAAAGCAAGCUAACGCUUGAAUACAUUAGCAUGGAAUAAUGAAAUAGGACGAUCGAUCCUAUUUUGUUGGUUUCUAGGAUUGACGUA
rnacentral:rRNA from 1 species